rnacentral:rRNA from 1 species
UAGGGAAUCUUCCGCAAUGGACGCAAGUCUGACGGAGCAAUGCCGCGUGUAUGAAGAAGGUCUCCGGAUCGUAAAGUACUGUUAUCAGCCAAGAACAAUUCACAGAGUAACUGUUGUGGAUCUGACGGUAACUGAUCAGAAAGCAACGCCUAACUACGUGCCAGCAGCCGCGGUAAUACGUAGGUGGCAAGCGUUGUCCGGAUUUAUUGGGCGUAAAGGGAGCGCAGGCGGUGACUUAAGUCUGAUGUGAAAGCCCACGGCUCAACCGUGGAAGGUCAUUGGAAACUGGGUCACUUGAAUGGAGCAGAGGAGAACGGAAUUCCAUGUGUAGCAGUGAAAUGCGUAGAUAUAUGGAGGAACACCAGUGGCGAAGGCGGUUCUCUGGGCUCACAUUGACGCUGAGGCUCGAAAGCGUGGGGAGCGAACAGG